UACGGCCAUAUCAUGUUAUUCCAUUGGUUCCCGUUCGACCACUGAAGUUAAGUACCGUCAAGGCUGUUCAGUACCUAGAUGGGUAACCGACAGGGAAUACCAGAAUGCUGUAAG